UACGAAGGGGGGCUAGCGUUGCUCGGAAUUACUGGGCGUAAAGCGCGCGUAGGCGGCUGUCUAAGUCGGAUGUGAAAUCCCCGGGCUUAACCUGGGAACUGCAUUCGAUACUGGGCGGCUAGAGUAUGAGAGAGGGAGGUAGAAUUCCACGUGUAGCGGUGAAAUGCGUAGAUAUGUGGAGGAAUACCGGUGGCGAAGGCGGCCUCCUGGCUUAAUACUGACGCUGAGGUGCGAAAGCGUGGGGAGCAAACAGG
rnacentral:rRNA from 1 species